AAAAGACUUAGUCCUAACCUUAUUAUUGGUUUCUGCUAGACUUAUACAUGCAAGUAUCCGCACUCCAGUGAAAAUGCCCCCUAACCCUUUCACCCUAAGCAAGAGGAGCAGGCAUCAGGCACACCAAAAAAUGGUAGCCCAAAACGCCUUGCUAAGCCACACCCCCACGGGUAUUCAGCAGUAAUUAACAUUAAGCAAUAAGUGUAAACUUGACUUAGCCAUAGCACCCUUAGGGUUGGUAAAUCUUGUGCCAGCCACCGCGGUCAUACAAGAAACCCAAAUCAAUAAUCAUCCGGCGUAAAGAGUGGCCACAUGUUAUCUACAUCCACUAAGAUCGAAAUGUGACCAAGCUGUCAUAAGCCCAAGACCCACCUAAGCUCAACCUAAAACAUCUUAGCUCGUAUGACCAAUUUCAAUCCACGAAAGCCAGGGCACAAACUGAGAUUAGAUACCCCACUAUGCCUGGCUAUAAAUCUUAAUACUUCCCCCACUCCCGUAUUCGCCCGAGAACUACGAGCACAAACGCUUAAAACUCUAAGGACUUGGCGGUGCCCCAAACCCACCUAGAGGAGCCUGUUCUAUAAUCGAUAAUCCACGAUCCACCCAACCACCCCUUGCCAAUACAGCCUACAUACCGCCGUCGCCAGCUCACCUUAAAUGAAAGAUCAACAGUGAGCUCAAUAGUUUUACCCACUAACAAGACAGGUCAAGGUAUAGCCCAUGGGUUGGAAGAAAUGGGCUACAUUUUCUAACAUAGAACAUACGAAAAAGAACGUGAAAUCGUCCUUAGAAGGCGGAUUUAGCAGUAAGAUGUAAACCAUAUCCAAGUUCACCUUAAGCUGGCCCUGAGGCACGUACAUACCGCCCGUCACCCUCUUCACAGGCCAUCAUCAUUAAUAAAUAAUGCCUUACAGGCCAAAAGACGAGGCAAGUCGUAACAAGGUAAGUGUACCGGAAGGUGCACUUAGACUA
rnacentral:ncRNA from 1 species